rnacentral:rRNA from 1 species
UACUCCUACGGGAGGCAGCAGUGGGGAAUAUUGGACAAUGGGCGAAAGCCUGAUCCAGCCAUGCCGCGUGUGUGAAGAAGGCCUUUUGGUUGUAAAGCACUUUAAGCGAGGAGGAGGCUACCGAGAUUAAUACUCUUGGAUAGUGGACGUUACUCGCAGAAUAAGCACCGGCUAACUCUGUGCCAGCAGCCGCGGUAAUAAU